rnacentral:rRNA from 1 species
UACGUAGGGGCAAGCGUUGUCCGGAAUCAUUGGGCGUAAAGCGCGCGUAGGCGGCCCGGUAAGUCCGUUGUGAAAGUCAAAGGCUCAACCUUUGAAUGCCGAUGGAUACUGCCGGGCUAGAGUCCGGAAGAGGCGAGUGGAAUUCCUGGUGUAGCGGUGGAAUGCGCAGAUAUCAGGAGGAACACCGAUAGCGAAGGCAGCUCGCUGGGACGGUAACUGACGCUGGAGGCGCGAAAGCGUGGGGAGCGAACAGGAU